rnacentral:rRNA from 1 species
GACGAACGCUGGCGGCGUGCUUAACACAUGCAAGUCGAACGGAAAGGCCCUGCUUUUGUGGGGUGCUCGAGUGGCGAACGGGUGAGUAACACGUGAGUAACCUGCCCUUGACUUUGGGAUAACUUCAGGAAACUGGGGCUAAUACCGGAUCGGAGCUCCUGCUGCAUGGUGGGGGUUGGAAAGUUUCGGCGGUUGGGGAUGGACGCGCGGCUUAUCAGCUUGUUGGUGGGGGAGUGGCUUACCAAGGCUUUGACGGGUAGCCCGCCUGAGAGGGUGACCGGCCACAUUGGGCCUGAGAUACGGCCCAGACUCCUACGGGAGGCAGCAGUGGGGAAUAUUGCGCAAUGGGCGGAAGCCUGAUGCGGCAACGCCGCGUGCGGGAUGACGGCCUUCGGGUUGUAAACCGCUUUCGCCUGUGACGAAGCGUGAGUGACGGUAAUGGGUAAAGAAGCACCGGCUAACUACGUG